rnacentral:rRNA from 1 species
GAUGAACGCUGGCGGCGUGCCUAAUACAUGCAAGUCGAGCGAACAGACGAGUAGCUUUCUCCUCUGACGUUAGCGGCGGACGGGUGAGUAACACGUGGAUAACCUACCUAUAAGACUGGGAUAACUUCGUGAAACCGGAGCUAAUACCGGAUAAUAUAUUGAACCGCAUGGUUCAAUAGUGAAAGACGGUUUUCCUGUCACUUAUAAAUGGAUCCGCGCCGCAUUAGCUAGUUGGUAAGGUAACGGCUUACCAAGGCAACGAUGCGUAGCCGACCUGAGAGGGUGAUCGGCCACACUGGAACUGAGACACGGUCCAGACUCCUACGGGAGGCAGCAGUAGGGAAUCUUGCGCAAUGGGCGAAAGCCUGACGGAGCAACGCCGCGUGAGUGAUGAAGGUCUUCGGAUCGUAAAACUCUGUUAUUAGGGAAGAAAAAAUGUGUAAGUAACUAUGCACGUCUUGACGGUACCUAAUCAGAAAGCCACGGCUAACUACGUG